rnacentral:rRNA from 1 species
CCUACGGGGUGCUGCAGUGGGGAAUAUUGGACAAUGGGCGAAAGCCUGAUCCAGCCAUGCCGCGUGUGUGAAGAAGGCCUUCGGGUUGUAAAGCACUUUCAGUGGGGAAGAAAGCCUUGGGGCUAAUACCCUCGAGGAAGGACAUCACCCACAGAAGAAGCACCGGCUAACUCCGUGCCAGCAGCCGCGGUAAUACGGAGGGUGCGAGCGUUAAUCGGAAUUACUGGGCGUAAAGCGCGCGUAGGCGGUCUGAUAAGCCGGUUGUGAAAGCCCCGGGCUCAACCUGGGAACGGCAUCCGGAACUGUCAGGCUAGAGUGCAGGAGAGGAAGGUAGAAUUCCCGGUGUAGCGGUGAAAUGCGUAGAGAUUGGGAGGAAUACCAGUGGCGAAGGCGGCCUUCUGGACUGACACUGACGCUGAGGUGCGAAAGCGUGGGUAGCAAACAGGAUUAGAUACCCCUGUAGUC